UGACUAAAGAAUGUUUAGAAAAAAGCAUGAAUAUUUGAACUGAUAACCGCAUGCUCUUUCUGAUUGCAAGUCUCUUGCAGAGUAUAAUAUAUAGAAGGAACAUCACCUCAAUUUGACCCAGAAAAAAAUAUGAUAUAGCUAAUGGCUUCUAACAAAAGACAAGCAUGUCUGGGAAUGUUGAGAAGGCCAUCCAGAGAAGUUAUGGGCUCUUCCCUGCUAUGAAAAUCUUCCAGAGAUCUGGGUUUGAAUUUUGGUAAACAUUCCACCAAAUAUUGUAAAUGGUUUUGUGGCACUUCUUUCGGAUGGAAGAUUUUGACAAGAUUGGAAGCGAAGACAUGACCAGGAUAUAUUUUCAUUUGCUAUAUAUUUAGUUCUUGUAUAACUUUAAUUUUGGUAUGUGGUUGCUAAGCAUGUACUGAUUGUAAGUGGAAAUGAAAGGGAAAUGAGACCUGUAAUAUACACAUUGUUUACUUUGUGUUUCAUUUGCUGUAAUAUUUGUGAGAUGAAUGAAAAGUAAGCUUAGAUCUGUAUUUGUUAA